rnacentral:rRNA from 1 species
UGGGGAAUAUUGCACAAUGGGCGCAAGCCUGAUGCAGCCAUGCCGCGUGUGUGAAGAAGGCCUUCGGGUUGUAAAGCACUUUCAGCGAGGAGGAAGGUGGUGAGCUUAAUACGCUCAUCAAUUGACGUUACUCGCAGAAGAAGCACCGGCUAACUCCGUGCCAGCAGCCGCGGUAAUACGGAGGGUGCAAGCGUUAAUCGGAAUUACUGGGCGUAAAGCGCACGCAGGCGGUUUGUUAAGUCAGAUGUGAAAAUCCCCGGGCUCAACCUGGGAACUGCAUUUGAAACUGGCAAGCUAGAGUCUCGUAGAGGGGGUAGAAUUCCAGGUGUAGCGGUGAAAUGCGUAGAGAUCUGGAGGAAUACCGGUGGCGAAGGCGGCCCCCUGGACGAAGACUGACGCUCAGGUGCGAAAGCGUGGGGAGCAAACAGAUUAGAUACCCUGGUAGUCCACGCUGU